rnacentral:rRNA from 1 species
CUGGCUUAUGGAGGGGGAUAACCAUUGGAAACGGUGGCUAAUACCGCAUGAUGUCGCAAGACCAAAGUGGGGGACCUUARGGCCUCACGCCAUGAGAUGAACCCAGAUGAGAUUAGCUAGUAGGUGCGGUAAUGGCGUACCUAGGCGACGAUCUCUAGCUGGUCUGAGAGGAUGACCAGCCACACUGGAACUGAGAGACGGUCCAGACUCCUACGGGAGGCAGCAGUGGGGAAUAUUGCACAAUGGGCGGAAGCCUGAUGCAGCCAUGCCGCGUGUGUGAAGAAGGCCUUAGGGUUGUAAAGCACUUUCAGCGGGGAGGAAGGCGGUAAGAGUAAUAUGCUUAUCRAUUGACGUUACCCGCAAAAGAAGCACCGGCUAACUCCGUGCCAGCAGCCGCGGUAAUACGGAGGGUGCGAGCGUUAAUCGGAAUAACUGGGCGUAAAGRGCAUGUAGGCGGUAAGUUAAGUCAGAUGUGAAAUCCCCGAGCUUAACUUGGGAACGGCAUUUGAGACUGGCUGGCUAGAGUUUUGUAGAGGGGGGUAGAAUUCCAGGUGUAGCGGUGAAAUGCGUAGAGAUCUGGAGGAAUACCGGUGGCGAAGGCGGCCCCCUGGACAAGGACUGACGCUGAGGUGCGAAAGCGUGGGUAGCAAACAGGAUUAGAUACCCUGGUAGUCCACGCUGUAAA